AUUGAACGCUGGCGGCAUGCCUUACACAUGCAAGUCGAACGGUAACGGGCCUUCGGGUGCCGACGAGUGGCGAACGGGUGAGUAAUACAUCGGAACGUGCCCGAUCGUGGGGGAUAACGAGGCGAAAGCUUUGCUAGUACCGCAUACGAUCUACGGAUGAAAGCAGGGGACCGCAAGGCCUUGCGCGGACGGAGCGGCCGAUGGCGGAUUAGGUAGUUGGUGGGAUAAAAGCUUACCAAGCCGACGAUCUGUAGCUGGUCUGAGAGGAUGAUCAGCCACACUGGGACUGAGACACGGCCCAGACUCCUACGGGAGGCAGCAGUGGGGAAUUUUGGACAAUGGGCGCAAGCCUGAUCCAGCCAUGCCGCGUGCAGGAUGAAGGCCUUCGGGUUGUAAACUGCUUUUGUACGGAACGAAAAGCCUUCUUUUAAUACAGGAGGGUCAUGACGGUACCGUAAGAAUAAGCACCGGCUAACUACGUG
rnacentral:rRNA from 1 species